UACAGAGGGGGCAAGCGUUGUUCGGAAUUACUGGGCGUAAAGGGCGCGUAGGCGGCCCUCUAAGUCAGACGUGAAAUCCCUCGGCUCAACCGGGGAACUGCGUCUGAGACUGGAAGGCUUGAAUCCGGGAGAGGGAUGCAGAAUUCCAGGUGUAGCGGUGAAAUGCGUAGAUAUCUGGAGGAAUACCGGUGGCGAAGGCGGCAUCCUGGACCGGCAUUGACGCUGAACGGCGAAAGCUAGGGGAGCAAACAGG
rnacentral:rRNA from 1 species